GAUAGCAAAGCCUAGAAAAUGGUUUCGUUUACUUCUGGAUCGAAUUAAGGAUAUCAAAGUAUCAUCUCGUCGAAUAUUUUCCGAGAUUUCUCGUCAAAAUUUGUUUCAUUGUUAGAUUUUGAAAUGAUUUUGCCGGGUUAUUUACUUCUUGAAACUAAUAACCCCCGCAGAAAAUCUAAAUUUGCAGUAGCCAAUCAGAUUGCAAGCUACACAAACAGCAAGGCUGUUAGCCAUCAAACUGAAUAAUAUAGGAAGCCGACGUCUUAAUUUGAAAUAAUAAGAGUGUUUUCAAACGUGACAAACGCUUGCUUUUGUCGUGCUCGAAGCCAACGUAAACAAUGACUUUUAACAUACACAGAUGCAAAACUUCAUCGUAACUCGUGAUCAUUGUGUGUUUUUUUUGUUGACGAGGGAAUAUAUGACAAUAAACUUGACCUGGUGGCCAUAUGGGCUGUGCUGGAUGAAACCUGACUUCAAAGGCGUUGCAAGCUGUUAUUGGGGUAACUAACCAUGUAAUUAUAUGUGCAAAACAAACUUGUGAAAAGAAAUCGCCACUGGAAUAAAACGAUACUACAUCA